rnacentral:RNase_P_RNA from 1 species
AGUCUCUGCUGGGCGACCGCUCGUUGGAUACUCCAUUUGCCAUAGGACGCAAGUCUUAAGGCUUGGAAUUGCAACGGGAGGAAAGUCCGGACACAAGGAAACCAUCAGUCCAGGUAAUGCCUGGUUCUUUGUUGGAAAAUCACUUCUGGGUUUACCUGGUUUUGAUUGACCCUCAAGGAAGGAAAGUGCCACAGAAAAUAUACCGCUCAAGCACCAUUUUACGCUCGCAAGCGGUAUCCCCGUUAACGAGCUAAAUGGUGCUGGGUAAGGGUGAAAUGGCGAGGUAAGAGCUCACCGCUUCGAUCGUAAGAAAGAGGGCAUGGUAAACCCACUGUAGUGCAAUCCCAAGUAAACGGCCGUUUGUAGCAGGUUUCGCGAGGCCUUAGGGUAGGGAGCAUGUCUUGGAAAUUCAUUUCCAAGCUAGAUAAAUGGUCGCCCACGACAGAAUCCGGCUUAUAGGUAGAGACUUUCC